UUUGCAAAAUGAGGUGGAGUUAUUCUUCAUCGUCACCAACCACCCUCACAUGCCUUUGCGCUUCGACAGCUGGGUCCUUCAUAGUUUUGGACCAGGCUGGCUGAAUGACCUACUCCCCGUCGAUUGAGGCUGUUGCUUUUAAUCCAGUUCUUCCCAUUCCCACGAGAUGCUUUUCCUACAUUGGAGGAGAAGGUGAGCCACGAGAUGUUUUUCCUACAUUGGAGGAGAAGGUGAGCUGAGGUUGGUCCACAAUUAUGUCAGAAUGUAAGGCCCAGGAUCAUGAACUAAAAGGCCUGUUGUGGUUGGCGAACCAAGAGCCUUUGAUGCCAUUCACCAUUCAACGACAACUGUUCUAGAAAAACCAAAGUACUUAAUACAACCAGAGUUGGCUGUGGCAUUGGUUAAAGACAUCCUUAGGAAUGUGUUGUUGAUGUACUGAACACGAAAUAAUGCCUUUACUUUUCAUGUUUGUUGUGGUUUAAAGCAUAUGGAAGAUAUGACUCAGGGUCGUCUCUGUCAUGAACAUGUGUGUGUGUGUCUCUCUCUCAUACCCAAGUAGAAAGACACAUGCACGUGCACAAGUACUGAAAAACAUGUAUUUGUUGAUGUGUAGCUAGUGCUUGAAUUCGUGGCAUUUAUAAAAUAUCACAAUGCAGGUGGAUAUGGCUGAUUGGUGUAUUUUAUGGGCCCACUGUUCAAACGUGCAUAUGUUUUUAUUAGAGCUAACAUGUCAAUUCAUACAGUUAAAAGCAUUAAUAGAAGCAAAUUCUUGUUCUUUCCUACAAAUGAUAUGUGCCUCAUAGAGGGAGGGAGUUAUGCAAGUUUUUUGUCCAUGCAGGUGAUUGCCUUUUCUUAGCUGCAAAGUCAGAUGGGACUCCUCAUCUCCUGAAGGCUGCUUUUGAAAAUUGCCAUAAGCACAACUUUCAAUUUUCCUAUUUUCUUUCUGCUGUGAGCAUCUGUCGCUUUGGCCCUAUUGAAUUUUAUUGGUAUAGUCAUCAUGGCCAGUGACCAUGCUGCAACAGAAGAUGCCAGAUAUUAUUUGGCCUUCAUCUUGAUCAAAAGAGAAACAGAUUAUGAAUCACGGAAAAAUGCUCAUUGGCAUACUUGAUUCUUACCAAAACUAUAUUGGGGAGCACAAGGAGCAAGUCAUUGAUGCUGUUACACUGACGACAACAUCUAUGCCCUUAUCUUGUUCAUGGGGCACAUGUAUAGAUCUUGUUCAUGCUUGCUAGUGGUAUUCAAAAUUCUUGGACUAUACAAUUGAUGACAUGCCUAUUGUGGGUUGGAGAUGCGCUCAUUUGGGAUCCAAAUGUAGUAUGAAGUUUAUGGUUUGACAAGACCAUCUUUUUUUAGGAAAAAGGAAGCACUUCCCCGAAUAUGUCAUUCACCGGCAAUACCGUCUCAUAUCCAGACGGGACACCCAUUGACGGGACACCCAUUGGUAGACGGCAGCAGCAGACCACCACCAGUAGGCGGAGAGCGGUAAGUGGAUUAUCCAUCAGCGAUCAGGCAGCGGAGGUAAGGCCCAGGAUCAUGAACUAAAAGGUGAUUGCCUUUUCUUAGCUGCAAAGUCAGAUGGGACUCCUCAUCUCCUGAAGGCUGCUUUUGAAAAUUGCCAUAAGCACAACUUUCAAUUUUCCUAUUUUCUUUCUGCUGUGAGCAUCUGUCGCUUUGGCCCUAUUGAAUUUUAUUGGUAUAGUCAUCAUGGCCAGUGACCAUGCUGCAACAGAAGAUGCCACAUAUUAUUUGGCCUUCAUCUUGAUCAAAAGAGAAACAGAUUAUGAAUCACGGUGUGGAUCAAAUUGCUGGCAAACUGAUUCUAUUCAGUGGAUAUAGACUUGUCAUCUAUCACUUUUUUGUUAUUUUCUCAAGUCUUUUAAGAUUUUUCUUAUUUUAUAUAUUAUUUAUUGUUUGACUCUAAGCCCAACUGAUUGAGUCAUUGAGUCAGCCAAUUCACCAAAUGGGCACCCUAACCAAUUUGAUUAGUGAGAUUUUUUAUGCCACUGAUUAAGAUUGUUGUUGACAGGAAAAAUGCUCAUUGGCAUACUUGAUUCUUACCAAAACUAUAUUGGGGAGCACAAGGAGCAAGUCAUUGAUGCUGUUACACUGACGACAGCAUCUAUGCCCUUUGGGUUGGAGAUGCGCUCAUUUGAGAUCCAAAUGUAGUAUGAAGUUUAUGGUUAGACAAGACCAUCUUUUUUUAGGAAAAAGGAAGCACUUCCCUGAAUAUGUCAUUCACCGGCAAUACCGUCUCAUAUCCGGUAGACGGCGGCAGCAGACCACCACCAGUAGGCGGAGAGCCGUAAGUGGAUUAUCCAUCAGCGAUCAGUGAUGGCAGCGGAGGCCCAGGAUCAUGAACUAGAAGGUGAACAGUGCUGUGAAUCAAAUUGGUUAGGGUGCCCAUUUGGCUCCUGGUUCACCAACAGGACAGGCGACCAAGUUCAGGAAAACCCAAAAUGUUAGGAUCAAGUUCACGAAUUCAUGCAGCACAUAAGAUGCUUGUCAUAUCAAGUGUUAGGAAUUGUUCUUGGGGAUGAUUCUUACCAAAACUGGUUUGGGGAGCACAAGGAGCAAAUCAUUGAUGCUGUUACACUUGUGUGUGGUAUUCAGCAUCUAUGUGUUCCACUUACCUCAGUGCUUAGUGGAUUGGACAAUUGUUGUGAAUUUGGUAAACUUAUUAAUCUCAUUUAGACUGACUAUGUUCUCCUGUCUUGUUUUUCUUCGCAUGACUAUGAUUAAAAGUCUUCUUUAUAGCUAUGUAUUUCUGUAAUCUACUUUCAUAGCAAUAAUGUCUUGUAUUAGUGAGUGUAAUAAUGGUAAAUUUGAG